UGAAGCAGGUAGUCAGAUUUUCAAUGUGCCUUUGGAUCCUGAAUUGACAUUCUUCUUGGAGGACUUUGGCGCCGCCAUCAUUCAUUAAAAAUGUCUUCUCCAGUGAUUGAAUGCUUUGUGCCCCUCGGUGGAUCUCCUUCACUUCCGUUCUUGGCCUGAGUUUUGUCAAGUGAAUUUUCCAGUUGACUUGAUGAGUGAGUCCAGUUAAAGGGCUGAGUUUUGCAAUGACUAGGCUCAAAAUCUCGCCAAGUCGGUUGAUUCGGAUGAGUUUCGAGGGAGUCAGCUAGUUUUAGAACUAUGGUGCUAACCUGUUCUUACCCUAUUUGAAUAUGUAAGACUAUGGUCAUUGAAUUGCGGUCGGUUGGGGUUCUCAUUGGGCCAUGUUGUCCCAUAGAGAUUUCAGGUUUAGCCCUCCAAAGGCUGGACUUCAGAGUCAAUGUUAGGCCCACUGGCUGAAUCUGGGUCCACUUUUAAUUGGAGACCGAAAUAAAUAAUAAUAAUAAAAGAUGUUAGGCCU